rnacentral:lncRNA from 1 species
AGGAAAUCCUAGAGAAAUCAGCCCACAAGAGGAGACUCUCUCCUCUUUUCUCCUGCACUAAGAAGGCCCACCGCCCCUCUCUUAAUUUUUUUCACGGACACCCUACUGGUUUUCCAUGAUAAAACCUGAUCUCUCUUUCUUACUACAUGCCCCACACCCCUUUUUAAAUAGGCACCCAAGUAGUUAUAAUAUGACAACGUUUGAAAAUUUAAAACCUAACCAAAUUAGGACAUUGGUUUUCAUUCAAAAUUAAACUAAUUUAAAUUCAAAUUAAACUUGAUCUAAAAGGGGAUGAGUAGGGACGCAUGGAGGGUGUUGGCAUGGACAUUCCUUAAAGAAAUCUGAUUUCACAUGAAGAAAUAAAGGGGC